AUUGAACGCUGGCGGAAUGCUUUACACAUGCAAGUCGAACGGCAGCAUAGGUGCUUGCACCUGAUGGCGAGUGGCGAACGGGUGAGUAAUACAUCGGAACGUGCCCAGUCGUGGGGGAUAACGUAGCGAAAGUUACGCUAAUACCGCAUACGAUCUACGGAUGAAAGCGGGGGACCGUAAGGCCUCGCGCGAUUGGAGCGGCCGAUGUUAGAUUAGGUAGUUGGUGGGGUAAAGGCUCACCAAGCCGACGAUCUAUAGCUGGUCUGAGAGGAUGAUCAGCCACACUGGGACUGAGACACGGCCCAGACUCCUACGGGAGGCAGCAGUGGGGAAUUUUGGACAAUGGGCGCAAGCCUGAUCCAGCCAUUCCGCGUGCAGGACGAAGGCCUUCGGGUUGUAAACUGCUUUUGUACAGAACGAAAAGCCUUGGGUUAAUACCCUGGGGUCAUGACGGUACUGUAAGAAUAAGCACCGGCUAACUACGUGCA
rnacentral:rRNA from 1 species